rnacentral:lncRNA from 1 species
UUUUGUUUUACACCCACAAGGGCCCAAAAUCUUCCUUCUUAUUUAUUCACUUAUAUAUGUUCCCAAACAUAUUAUGAUAGAUCAAAUAAUAAUUCAAAGUCCAAAAUUUAGUUAUGGACAAAAAUACAAGCAAUUCACCAGUACUGAAGUUGCUACAAAAACUGGAAUCUUCCCCAGCCUAGAAAUCCAACAAAGCUUCGCCUCCUUUUCUCUAUCAAAUUUUUGCAGCUGCUGCUUCUCUCCAAUGGAGCUGAAUUUUGGACACCCUCUAGUUCUUGAGCAGAUGAACAACUUUCAAGAAGGAACCAUUUCUGUUUGAGCCACGGAAAUUAAAGUGUUGAAGCUCCAAGCAUGACAGUCGGAUUCUUGCAGAUUUCGAAGCUGCUGUGAUGUUUCGAAGAUCUGGAAAUAUUUAACCAUUAGUUCAUUCUGAAUUUUUGAUAUGUUAUGAAAGAGACGAUGAGGAACAACUUCAAUGAAGAAAGCAUGCUGAUCUGAGCAAGAGAAAAUGGAGUUUCAAAGCUCACAACAAAUCUGACGGGUUGACAGAAAAAUAAUAACCAGUCAUUCAUCAUACCUGAAUUUCUUGAGUUAUACAGCUCCGAGGGAUCUCAAAUUUGGAUAUGUUGUAGUUCACAAGCUGAGGAAAAACUUCAAUGAAGAAAGCAUGCUUAUUUGAGCAAGAGAAAAUAGAGUUUCAAAGCUCACAACAAAUCUGACGGGUUGACAGACAAAUGAUAAACAGUCACUCAUCAUACCUGGAUUUCUGGAGUUAUACUGCUCCGAGGGACCUCAAAUUUGGAUAUGUUGUAGUUCACAAGUUAAGGAACAACUUCGAUGAAGAAAGUAUGUUGAUCUGAGUAAGAGAAAAUGGAGUUUUUGAAGCUCACAACAAGUCUGACGCGUUGAUAUACAAAUGACGAACAAUCACUCAUCAUACCUGAAUUUCUGGAGUUGUACUGCUCCGAUGGAUCUCCAAUUCGGAUAUGUUGUAGUUCACGAGCUAAGGAACAACUUUCAUGAAGAUGGUUUUGCGAUC